GAUGAACGCUGGCGGCGUGCCUAAUACAUGCAAGUCGAGCGAACAGACGAGGAGCUUGCUCCUCUGACGUUAGCGGCGGACGGGUGAGUAACACGUGGAUAACCUACCUAUAAGACUGGGAUAACUUCGGGAAACCGGAGCUAAUACCGGAUAAUAUAUUGAACCGCAUGGUUCAAUAGUGAAAGACGGUUUUGCUGUCACUUAUAGAUGGAUCCGCGCCGCAUUAGCUAGUUGGUAAGGUAACGGCUUACCAAGGCAACGAUGCGUAGCCGACCUGAGAGGGUGAUCGGCCACACUGGAACUGAGACACGGUCCAGACUCCUACGGGAGGCAGCAGUAGGGAAUCUUCCACAAUGGGCGAAAGCCUGACGGAGCAACGCCGCGUGAGUGAUGAAGGUCUUCGGAUCGUAAAACUCUGUUAGUAGGGAGGAAGGGAAGUGUAUGUAACUAUGCACGUCUUGACGGUACCAAAACAGAAAGCCACGGCUAACUACGUG
rnacentral:rRNA from 1 species